UAGAAAACACAACGGAAAUUGGCAAACAACUCAAAUAGAAACACAGUCUAAUAGACCAACAGACUAACCAAACCGAACGCAGUACUUUAGUCUAAAUUCAAGCGGCUAACUGAUCGCACACACGAAAAGAAAAAUGGAUCCAAAAACACCAAGUACUAUUCUAAAUACCAGCGAUGAACAGUAUUUAACUGCGCAAUCGAGUCCAACGCGUGAUGCCGGCCCUUGCCGCUUGUCAUGGUUUCUUGUGCGCAACGAUCCACUUUAUGUGCCGGAAUAUGGCGUAUAUCGUUUAAUACAUGGCAUGGACUUAAUAGAUCCCGAUUACACCAAUGCAUAUGCGGGUAAUCUCCUGAGUUAUAAUAUCGGUACAGCAACAAUAACCGGCAGAAUGUUGGCUGUUGCUGAUAAUGUAAAGCUCGUACAACGCGCUUUAAACGAUUGGCUGAAGGAAGAUCGUAAGAAAUAUCCAAUAUUCAAAUCGAAUAUAUUUGUACAAUAUCGUGCGGCUACCAAUCGUUUGGUGCACCGAAUACUACAUGAGGAACUGACGGUGCCUUUGUCAUCCACUCAGAAUCCGCACGUUAGCGAUAUGGAUAUAUUUGUGCGUGAUGGCGAACGGUUGACGCAGGCAAAGAUACUGUCACGUAACCCUAACGUCGACGAAUUAAUAAAUGAUUUGACUAGGGUGACUAGCAACAUAACGGAAAAAAUCUCUGGUAGUUUCGCAUCGAUUAAUCUCGAUGUGGACGCCACCACCGUACCGAAAAACAAUCCAUGGUUGCUAAUACAGUUUAGCGUCAGUGUGCGCGAUAGCAUCUAUUCAAUUGUGCGCUAUAACGAUACCACCGGUUGGGAAUAUAAUGCCUUUCCAGGCUUACAAACAUAUCUCCUGGUUGGCAAGACACUAUUUCAAGCUUUAAUCAUAUACAAAUCGCACAACUACAGUGCCGUAAUAGCAGCAAUGGAUACCAUAAUGAGUUCGUGUAUAGUGUCGAUGUACCCGCAUUAUGACGAUCAUGAGUAUCGCAAUCCGGAGAUAGAGAAGGUAUGUCGUAAUUUGAAGUGGGAAACCUUUGAAGAACUGCGCGCUCAACUAGCUGAAGUCUUAAAAAGCGCUAAUGAGGAGACAAUAUGAUGCUUCAAUUUUUGCGAAGUGAAAGGAGUGAGUAAAGUAGAGAGAGAGGAAGGUAGAGACAGAGAGGAAGAUAGAAAGCGCGAGAAAACAAUACGAUAGAAGUAAACUUCAAAACGCCACAUAGUUGACAUUACAAAUAUUUGAUAUAUAAACAUACAAGAUUAUUUAUUUUAAUCCCUCCCCCCCUAACACCAUUUGUGCCUUAUCGCUUGAAAACAGGAUUCGUAACUUUUUAGCAAGAACUCGCUAGUAUUUGUAGCAAUAAUCACGCAAAUAUAUGGACGUUGAUUCGGUUACUCAUGAUGAUUAGUAUGAGGAAGGAGAAAGAUAUGCGAAA